UUUCUUCGUAACCUAACUUCUCCGUCACAUUCCUGACUCCCGAGGUCGCGCGACGCUCGCUGCGGUGAGGGGUCGGCGGCUACCUUGCGCGGCGGCAAGGCCAUUGGCGGCCGCCUCGCGCUACGACGUGGUCGUUGGCAGCCCCCUCGCACUGUGGCGAGGAACUCCCAUUGCCCCUCGCGCGGUGGUGAGGACGCCCACGGCCGCCUCACGCAGCGGCCCCGAGGUUGCCUCUCUCGAUCACGAGGAUACCUCACACGGGGGCAAUGAUUUACAUCCACUCGCCAUCGCGAUGGAUGUGAGAGACCAGAUGCCGCCAACAGAAAUGGCAUUUGAACGAAGCGGAAUAAAGAGACUAAGGAAUAGCAGAAGAUUCGCCAAGGGAGAAACAAGUCUGCGAGUUAGGAAUGGAGCAAAGGUUGUUGCAAUCACUAUCGGAACAUAUUUGUUACAGCUUCCUAGUACACUUGUCUUAGAACUAGAUAAUUGUUAUUUUGUUCCCGCAUGAAUAAUGAACAUUAUUUAUAUUUCUUGCUUAAAUAGAAAAUGUUUCCAUUUGACUUUUAGUAACAAUUGUUGUUAUAUAUCACUGAAUAGUAUUCUUCAUAGCACUGGAACUUUAUGCAAUGA